AGUGAACGCUGGCGGUAGGCCUAACACAUGCAAGUCGAACGGCAGCACAGGAGAGCUUGCUCUCUGGGUGGCGAGUGGCGGACGGGUGAGGAAUACAUCGGAAUCUACUUUGUCGUGGGGGAUAACGUAGGGAAACUUACGCUAAUACCGCAUACGACCUACGGGUGAAAGCAGGGGAUCUUCGGACCUUGCGCGAUUGAAUGAGCCGAUGUCGGAUUAGCUAGUUGGCGGGGUAAAGGCCCACCAAGGCGACGAUCCGUAGCUGGUCUGAGAGGAUGAUCAGCCACACUGGAACUGAGACACGGUCCAGACUCCUACGGGAGGCAGCAGUGGGGAAUAUUGGACAAUGGGCGCAAGCCUGAUCCAGCCAUACCGCGUGGGUGAAGAAGGCCUUCGGGUUGUAAAGCCCUUUUGUUGGGAAAGAAAUCCAGCCGGCUAAUACCUGGUUGGGAUGACGGUACCCAAAGAAUAAGCACCGGCUAACUUCGUGCCAGCAGCCGCGGUAAUACGAAGGGUGCAAGCGUUACUCGGAAUUACUGGGCGUAAAGCGUGCGUAGGUGGUUAUUUAAAUCCGCUGUGAAAGCCCUGGGCUCACCCUGGGGAACUGCGGGGGAUAUUGGAUGAUUAGGGUGUGGCAUAGGGGGGAGAAAAUUCAGUGGGAGAAAUAAAUGGGGAGAGAAAAGGAGGACGUCCUUUGCGAAGGAAAUUACCUGGUGGGUCUCUUCCGCUGUGGCACGAGUAGUGGAGACCCGGCGGCCUCGAAGCUCGCUUGC
rnacentral:rRNA from 1 species